AGGAGGAGGAGGAGGGUAACGGUGAUGAACAGGAAGUGGAGGAUGAAGAGAGAACUCUUUAUUUCCUGCUUCUAAAGUCGCUUUUCUUCUUCUACUGUCGGAUUAAAUUACACACAAAGACGAACGAGUUUCCGGGUGAUCAGAGUCAGCUGAUGGACGUCAGCCAAUCACGUUAGAGAACACUCAUAUCAGUCAGAGCCACAUCCUGUAGAUAAAGAUGGACGCAGCGAGAUGUGACGUCAGCUGCUGGUUUGAUUGGAGCCCGUUUAGUUGCAGUUUACGGUUGUUCGGAUCUUCCAAAUAAGGAACGUUGAUCGUUGCCUUUCACGCUUUGGAAUCACGCUACGCUACCUCGGAUACGUUACGUUAAACUGACUCCUGGAGCAGCAGGGUGGACAGAUGCUGCUCUAUAAACAGCUUCAUCGUACGUCUGCCUCGGUUACUCGCCGUGAGGUCAGCGGUAAAAGAAGCUUCAGUUACCAACAGAUCAGCUUUACAAGAAACAAACUGUGAGGAGGUGAGAGGUCAGAGGUCGAGUCACGCACAAGCUGUUUUCAGACUCCUUCGAUCCUCGACGUCAGAACGAGGCCUGCAUCCUUCCUAGAAGUCUGGAGAUGAAAUGCAGCAUUUCAUCUUAGAUCUGAUGUAUCCUGACGACACUUUAACAAGAGGAAGAGUCAGUCAGUCCUGGAAGUUCAAGUGUUUACAUGAGUCAUUCUCCUAAAUAUUAAAUAACUUAUGAAAUCAGCUCAUUUUUUAUUUACUUACUGUGAUAAUUGUGUUGAUGCUACAUGUUUAUGAUUUUUACAGUAAAUAAAGAAAAAUCUACCAACACGUUUGUAUGUUUUAUGAUGACAAAAUAAGAAAACAACACUUUAUGACUCUGGUACAUGAAUGAAACCUGUGAUCUCCUGAGUGUGAGCAGAGUGUUCAGUAUUCCUCGACAUACAGGCCUAACCCCGGGAGUCCACCGGGCGCCGCGUUCCGGCUGCGAUGCGUUUUUGCUCCGUCCUCUGCACGGCGCCCUAUUCCAGCGGGGGCGUGUCAGAAGCGUCUUCACUGCGGGGAAGCCUUCCGCCGUUUAAAGUCA